rnacentral:misc_RNA from 1 species
AACGCACAUUGCGCCCGCCAGUAUUCUGGCGGGCAUGCCUGUCCGAGCGUCAUUUCAACCCUCGAGCCCCUCCGGGGGGUCGGCGUUGGGGAUCGGCUUACACCUGCCGGCCCCGAAAUACAGUGGCGGCCUCGCCGCAGCCUCUCCUGCGCAGUAGUUUGCACACUCGCAACGGGAGCGCGGCGCGUCCACGGCCGUAAAACACCCCAAACUUCUGAAAGGUUGACCUCGGAUCAGGUAGGAAUACCCGCUGAACUUAA